UACAGAGGUCUCAAGCGUUGUUCGGAUUCAUUGGGCGUAAAGGGUGCGUAGGCGGCGCGGUAAGUCGGGUGUGAAAUUUCGAGGCUUAACUUCGAAACUGCAUUCGAUACUGCCGUGCUAGAGGACUGGAGAGGAGACUGGAACUUCCGGUGGAGCGGUGAAAUGCGUAGAUAUCGGAAGGAACACCAGUGGCGAAAGCGGCGCUCUGGACCUCUACUGACGCUGAGGCGCGAAAGCCAGGGGAGCAAACGGG
rnacentral:rRNA from 1 species